CGUCUAUAUACGUAUAGCAUAUCAAUAAGCGGAGGAAAAGAAACUAACUAGGAUUCCCUCAGUAACGGCGAGUGAAGCGGGAAGAGCUCAAAUUUGAAAUCUUCAAGGUUCUACCUUGACGAAUUGUAGUUUAAAGAAGUGUUUUCUGUUGGAGUUUUGGUAAAAGUUCUUUGGAAUAGGACAUCAUAGAGGGUGAGAAUCCCGUAUUUGACCAUUAUUUCCAGCUUUGUGAUACACUUUCAAAGAGUCGGAUUGUUUGGGAAUGCAGUCCAAAAUGGGUGGUAAAUUUCAUCUAAAGCUAAAUAUUGGCGAGAGACCGAUAGCGAACAAGUACCGUGAGGAAAGAUGAAAAGAACUUUGAAAAGAGAGUUAAACAGUACGUGAAAUUGUCAAAAGGGAAGCGUUUGACACCAGUGUUGUUUUCUCGAAAAUCAAUUAAAAAAGGCCGGAUUUUGUGUUGUAUUGACUUUAUCAGCUUUCUGCACUCUUUUCUUGUCUUUUUUAAUGCACUUUUCGUUUAACAAGUCAACAUCAAUUUCUUUUGUUGUAAAAGGGUCAUUGGAAGGUGGCUUUCUUUUCGGAGAAAGUGUUUAUAGCCUUUGGCCUCUGCAAUCGGAGAGAUUGAGGUCUGCAGCGUAGAUCCUUCGGGGUUAGAUACAUUUGUGCUAAGUUAUAGCCUUUCAUAGACAACUUGUUGACUAUGAUCAGUCAUGUAGCUUACUCGCUUAUGCUAUUUUACCUACGCUUAGGAUGUUGAAGUCAUCGUAUCGCC
rnacentral:rRNA from 1 species